AUGAAGACGACUAAGCAUGUCAUAAGGAGUAGAAUACCCAGGUGGUGGUUGUAUGUAAACCUCCUCACGCAGCUCACUAUUAAGAAAGGCAUUCUUAACAUCAAGCCUAGACAUGAACUGGUGGCGAACAAAGGCCACAAGCAUAUGGUUUUGCAGGAGCAAGAGUCUCAUCGUAAUCAGGAUCAAGCUCCUGAUGAAAGCCAUGACCCACAAGUUUUUCUAAUGCUCAAGAGAACCAUCAGAGUGAGUCCUAACCUUGUAGACCCACCAAGUGAUGGGACGAACACGAGGAGGAACAGAAACAAUAUCCCACGUGCUGAUGCACUCAAGAGCAACAAUCUCCUGUGUCAUCACAAGGUGCCAUUUGGUAUGAACAACAUCACAACAAGAAGUCAGCUCAAGAAUAGCAGCGCCAACGCUUGGAAGACCAAGGCGGUCAUCAGGCCGAAGCGGACGAGGACGCAAGCCAUAAGUAGGCCAAGACGGGGAAGAUGGCACAUCAGUAGACGCAUCGACAACACGCAGACGACCUAUCUAGAAGUUAGGAUUUUUUUUUGGAAGAAUACGAGCUGGAAUCAUCGAGGGAUAAACUCAGGUGAUGGAGACAAGGAAACCACCGGUGAUGAAGGUGUAGAAUCAUGUGAUAAGCGAGGUGAGGAAAUCAUAGGAGAUGAUGACGUUGGUUCUACAAUAAUCAGAGAAGCAUGA
rnacentral:rRNA from 1 species